UACGAAGGGGGCUAGCGUUGCUCGGAAUCACUGGGCGUAAAGGGUGCGUAGGCGGGUCUUUAAGUCAGGGGUGAAAUCCUGGAGCUCAACUCCAGAACUGCCUUUGAUACUGAAGAUCUUGAGUUCGGGAGAGGUGAGUGGAACUGCGAGUGUAGAGGUGAAAUUCGUAGAUAUUCGCAAGAACACCAGUGGCGAAGGCGGCUCACUGGCCCGAUACUGACGCUGCGGCACGAAAGCGUGGGGAGCAAACAGG
rnacentral:rRNA from 1 species